rnacentral:rRNA from 1 species
GGGGUAGAGCACUGAAUGAUCUAGGGGGCAUAUUGCUUACUGAAAUCAAUCAAACUCCGAAUACCAUAAUUUAUAGCUCAGGAGUGAGACUAUGGGAGUUAACUUCCAUUGUCAAAAGGGAAACAACCCAGACCACCAGCUAAGGUCCCUAAUUAUAACUAAGUGGGAAAGGAGGUGGAGAUUCACAAACAACUAGGAGGUUGGCUUAGAAGCAGCCAUACCUUUAAAGAGUGCGUAAUAGCUCACUAGUCGAGAGUCUCUGCGCCGACAAUGUAACGGGGCUAAGUUAUAAACCGAAGCUGUGGAAUCCAUUUGGAUUGGUAGGAGAGCGUUCUGUAGGCCGUUGAAGAAGAAGGGUAACCAACUUUGGAGGUAUCAGAAGUGAGAAUGCAGGAAUAAGUAGCGAGAAAGGGGGCGAGAAUCCCCCUCGCCGGAAGACCAAGGUUUUCAGGGUAAAGCUUGUCUUCCCUGAGUAAGCCGGGACCUAAGCCCAGGCUAUAAUGCGUAGGCGAAUGGAAAACAGAUUAAUAUUUCUGUGCCAGUCAUUUAUUGUGAUGGAGGGACGCAGAAGGGUAUGCACGCGGACGAUUGGUUGUGUCCGUAGAAGUAUGUAAGAUGACUUAGUAGGUAAAUCCAUUAAGUUAUAUCUGAGGUAUGAUAUACAGUCGUAAGAUGAAUGUGCAAAUCCCACGCUGCCAAGAAAAGCUUCUAACGUUAAUAUAUGACUGCCCGUACUGUAAACCGACACAGGUGGUCAGGAUGAGAAAUCUAAGGCGGACAGGCUAACUCUCGUUAAGGAACUCUGCAAAAUAACCUCGUAACUUCGGGAGAAGAGGAGCCCUUGUGUGUGAGUAUACAUGCGAUACAAAGCGCACGAGGGUCGCAGUGAAGAGGCUCAAGCAACUGUUUAACAAAAACACAGGUCUAUGCUAAGCUGUAAGGCGAUGUAUAUGGGCUGACACCUGCCCAGUGCUGGAAGGUUAAGAGGAGGAGUGAGAGCUCCGAAUUGAAGCCCCAGU